rnacentral:lncRNA from 1 species
GGCGGGGAGAGCUGAGGUGACCACUGUGACUGCCCUGGGCACAAGGACCGUCGUUCUGUGAAUCCUCCCUAAGCCCGCUGGCGGGGCCCCUUUGCUGCCACUGCAAGUAAAGUUUCCCAGCUCAAGUAAAUUCUGGAGGGGAUUGACCUAAUUUCCAGAGUCUAAGGGGUGACAAAAAGCCCCAGUCAAAACUCCUGGAGACAGCUGUCUCCUGGGAGGAGGACUCCCUGAGCCUCCCGCUUC